AGAUAUAAGAGCGAUCUGGCUGUGACAUCUGUCACCCCAUUGAUCACCAAGGUUGAUUCGGCUGAUCUGGCUGGCUAGGCGGGUGUCCCCUUCCUCCCUCACCACUCCAUGUGCAUCCUUCCCAAAGCUGCACGCUGGUUCGAAGAGGACGACCAUCCCCGAUAGAGGAGGACCGUUCUUCCCGGUCAAGGGUGUAGGAGUAGCUGCAUUCCCCUGCUAAAAUCUCCAACAAGCUCUCAAGUAAAAUGACCUGUACCAAGUCAAUUGUUGCUAAGGCUAAUAUUGCUAAAUAUUGUUCAACAUGGCCACAUUUGUCAUGUU
rnacentral:snRNA from 1 species